UACGUAGGGGGCAAGCGUUGUCCGGAUUUACUGGGUGUAAAGCGCGCGUAGGCGGAACUUCAAGUCCGGUCUGAAAGCCCCCGGCUCAACCGGGGAGGGUGGCUGGAAACUGGGGUUCUUGAGGGCGAGAGAGGAGGGUGGAAUUCCUGGUGUAGCGGUGAAGUGCGUAGAGAUCAGGAGGAACACCCGGGGCGAAGGCGGCCCUCUGGCUCGACCCUGACGCUGAGGCGCGAAAGCGUGGGGAGCGAACGGG
rnacentral:rRNA from 1 species